AGGAGCUCGAUCUGGUGAGUUGGCCUGGGCCCAGGUCAUGAAGGAUGAGUUUAGCGGUUGGAUGGAAACAUGGAAUCAUUGCCCCGGUGGGCUUGCCCUGAGGCUGCUCCAGGAGAUGUGACGGGAGGAUGACAGGUGAACAUUUACAUAUCUUACAGAAAAAUCUCUAAGAUCUAAAAUCAGGAAUGCUGUGUGGUUCAGCUAUAUUUCCUUUGGUGCUGAGAAUAAUGACCAGGAAGAGAAUGUCCAUAAACCUGUGAAGACAUUACAUGGCUUGGUCCAACAAGUCUGAAAAGAGGCUCACGUCUGGAAGCCUGGCGGUAGAUCAUGACAAUUAUGACUGCCCUGAACCUCAUCUAUAUUUGAUUUCUUCUGGUUGUAUAUGUUGAGCGAUGUUGUUGGUAGUCCAUGCAGCCAUCUGUCUUGUUCUAUUUGCCAUUUUCUUAGCUCUCCUUCGUCAGCCUUAUCUUGCCAUUCAUUGUUGUACAACUUUCCCAGAGAUGGUUAAGUACUGCUGCUUCAUUUAUAUUAUUCUUUGUUUACAAUUUAAAAUUUGUGAUUUGCCAUUUUAAAAUUUUUGAUGGUUAUCAUCCUCACUGCUUUUCAGGAGUCUAGAUUUAUACUGUAACUUCUUACUAUCAGCCCAGUCCUACAGAGAACAGCCACCACUGAGUUUCUCUAUGAUUCUAGUUCCCUCCCCACAGCAUAUUUCUUUUUGCUUUAGACUAUCCAGAAGUUAGUUAUCUAAUAGAUUUCAUAUUCAUAUAUUCCAGCAUCCCUGCUUCUCUGUUUUUGAUCUAUUUUUUUUUUCACCUCAAAACCUAGGGCCUUAACUGAUGCUAGGAAGAUUAUCCAUUGAUCUUAACCGUGCAUUUGCCUCAACAUCUAUAGACUCCCUCCUCUUGGGACUUAAGACAGCAAGACCAAGAGGUGGUCAGUUCAUAAGAUACAACAAGAUAUCUUGAUUAGAGCCUUUCGAGCCAGUCUGGUCUUUUAAGUGAGUAGACUGAAGUGAAGAUAAACAUGUAAAAUCAAGGUAUUUUAUAUGAGAUGAAACUUAACUGUGGCUCUCAGACACAUGGUCUGCACAUCCUAUUACAGAAGUCAGGAACAGAUUUGGUUGUCUGGUUUUACAAUGCCUAUUUUGAGUAGAGAAGCAUGUUCUCCGAUGUUGGAUGGCAAAAAAAGAAAAUGGUCAAGUGCAAGAGGCCAGGUUCCAUCUCCAUAGAUAAGAAUGCUCCCAAGUGUCACCACAGAAAAGAGAAAACAUGCUUAAUUCAAAAAAUGUAUUUCCUAGUUUCUUGCUGCUUAAUAAAAUAGUUAAGUAGAAAGGCAUUUGCUAGCCAGCCUUACAAGUCAAAAUCUGAAAGAUUUUAUUAAUAAAUGGCCAGUAGAACUAUUGAGUAGCUUAUUUCCUCUGGACACCAACCUCAGGGUAGCUGGAAUUUCAAGUGGACGGAAAACAGACAUUCAGGCAGACAACUAGAAAACCUGAGUGAGAAAGUGACUAAUUCCAAACUCUUAAGAUAUCGGCUGUUUACAUAUUGCAUAGAAGAUUGAACACUCAUGGUGGCCAAUUCUCAAUAACAAAAGCUGAUGGAUAACCAUUCAAACCUCUCAUCUUCUAGGAAUCUCUGGCAAGAUGUUCUGUUUUUUGAUCAAGAAGAUACCAGCAGAUCUGGCUCAUGCCUGCCUGUUCCUAAUAGUUACCUGCUUAUUCCCUCUUAGUUUUGGGCCAGUUCCUUCAGUGAAUUCAACCCUAACUCUUUCAAAUUUAUAUUAUUGCACCCAACUCCCUUUUUAUCCUACUCCAUUUAUAGCGUGAAUACUCUGUGAUGAGGGAAGCUUACUUAUGUCAGUCUCUGUCACAUUAUGCUUGGUGGCAGGGAUCUUUUUUCUUUCACUGAAUAUCUUACAAAAAUUCCUAGGACUUAUAACGAUGUGUGAAACAUGUUAGGCACCCAUUGAUUGAAUAUUUAUUGAAUACAACAAUACCUGAAAAUUAGGUCUAAUUUAUUGUUGGCAAUUCCUUCCAGAAUGCAGUAUUUGAGUUUCUAUCUUGGCCAUUCAAGUGUAAGUUUGAGAAUCUUUCAUUUGUUCAUUUCCGUGAUGAUAGCUCUUAAUCAUAGGCUAAGGACACUGUUAGUUUUCAACCAAACCAAGCAUUUUUAUUCUAAUUAUGCAUUCCGGUACCAUGCCUACAUUCUAGUUUCUCCACUUGUGUUUUGAUCCCUUUUAUUCACCUCAUUGACUCGACUUUUAGCUGAUACUAGAAGAUAUUUUUCUGUUGAUAGCUGUCAUCAGGAAUAUCUCAUGCCUGUAAAUUUCCUUACUCUGGGAUUGUGAUGAUACCAGGCCAAAAAGUGGUCUGGACUCAUGGUGUGUGAACCAAUCUCAGGAACUCUUUCAGCCACUAUGUCCAGAUGAUCACAAUCAGUCCACUGGGUUAUGUAUUGGAAAGGCUUUCCUCUCUAGGAGUGUUCUAGAGAGGCAACGAUGUAAUGUUAACCAUAUUCCCUUUGAACAAGCAUCAUAAAUUCCUAGAGUGGGAAGCCAGAUACCAUACUAUGGUCAGUUUUGGAGGAUGAUCAGCAGUGGUUAAGUAAAAUUACAGUUAAGUAAAAUUAGGGAAUCUGUAAUAAAGAUUCUUCUAGUCUCUUUCAUAGGGCCUACUUGGCUACCCCAUGAUUUGACUUCUUUUGAGUAAACAUUUUCAUUUCUGAAGACAUUCUCCCUGUAUUAUAAGAUUAGGCUCUCAAUAAAUGUUCUUGAUUACCCAACAACUAAUUAAGAACAGUCUCAUAAGGCUCCUCUGUGUUAAGUUUUCCUAUGCCUUCAGCUCUGGAAAACCAUAACUCUAGUGAGAAGAUCAUAAAGAGGGGGUCCUGUGAGGUAGAAGUUAUAAUCUCUAGUUUCCACACCUCUAGAUUUCUUGGCGCAUGAACACCAAGGACAUUCUCCAAAUGGAGAUACUCACAGCCAAUGAUUAAGCAUGUCUGGUUACUACAUGUGAGCCUUUGAAAUGACUGUCUACACUUAUAACAUGGCCACAUCUCCUAAGGAUUGCUCCCCAAGGACAACAUGGCUAGAAUACUAAUGAAGACCUUUCUUGGUUGACAGGGCAAAUUUUGACUAAUCAAGUACACUCAGAGCAUUUCCAAACCUUCUCUAAACUGUGUGGCUAUCUUGGAUGUUUCUAUGUCAUCUUUUCUUUAUUCAUUGGCCUCUCAGCUACAUCAGACUGAAGGAUCUCACAGCCAUCCCACGAUUCUUCCAUUUUAUCUCCUUUCAGGCAAAUAUUUCUUUCAAGAUCUUCGUACCUAUAAUCCCAUGUUGGUAUCUGCUACUUACAGAAACUGAUAUGGAUAAAGUUCACAAAAUACCACUAUCUCUUGCACUAUUUUUGGUCUUAGUGGAGAUAUGUUUUACCAUAUCUAGUUCUUAGAUGGUUUAAAAACAAUAUCAAAUUUCUCAGCUGCAGUAGCUGUAUACACCUUCCUACUACUGUUUUAAGCUAAUUUGGUCCUUUCAUAUGGUAAAGAAAAGUACAAAUAAACAUGUAAAAUGAAGAUAUAUUUUUACAAUAGGAGAUUGACUCUGGAUUAUACAUGCCCAGUCACAGUGGCUGGCACAACCUAUUAUGGACAUCAAGAAUGUAUUCAAUUGUUCAGAAACACAGUCCCUACUUUCAGUACAGAAGUGACUUCUAUCUGUGUCUAAGAUACUACGACAAUGAUACUUGGGUCAGUGUGAACCCCUAGAUGCAACUUGUGGUCUAUCUGCAAAGAAACCAAAAGGUAUUCCCUACCUUAAUUAAGGUCUUACAUAUCAAUAUUCAUCUAGGAUCCACACCCUUGGGGGAUCCCAAGGUACAGCACUACUGGGAAGAGUGAAGGAGAGAGCAGUCAAAUGGGACUUUUGAACUACAUCACUUGCCAGGUAGCUGACAAUGAGAUUCCCAUCACUGAUGUGGUUGAAGAACAAGGUCCCUUGCACAAGAUGAUGAUCUUAUUCUUAAUAGUGUCACUGGUAAAUUGGGAGGGUUGAAUAGGUCAGGAGAAAAGGGUAUAUUAACUGGUACUACCUAUCAUCCAAGCAAUCGUGUAUGAAAUCCUAUUUAGAUCUCCCAGUCACUGUCUGACUGCUCCUUUAAGGUUUCUCUAUCUGCAGCACACUACUGCUCUGUUCCCAUUAAGUUUCAGUGGCUUCCCCUGGGACUCUGCACUUCUAAUACAUCUAGGAUGUACUAAAGCCUGACCAAAAAAUACUUCAGCCCUCUGACAGCAUGGAUAUGAGUGGAGCUAGUACAGGUUCUUUCAUUUCAGAUUACAACUUUCUAAUAAUACUGAGGACCAAACAGUGGGUGAUAGAACUUGAGUCCAAGACCAAGCUAGCCUUAGCACAGGCCUCCCUUUUAUUUAAGGCCACCUUUAUUACUUAUUUUUCUCUGAAAUCCCAGGCUCUAACUUUCUUAAAAAAAGUGAUUAGGUCACCAAAUAGAAUGAUCCAUUUGUCCUUUUUAGGAGCAUAGAGUGUGGUCAACAUUUUAAAGCUUAAAGUGCAUAGUAUAACAUAGAUUUUAAAGUUAUUAUUUUUAAGUACUACAAAUUAUACUUUCCAAAUAAAAUAUUCCAAAUCAACCAAGGUUGAAAAUUAUCUUGGGAUGGAACCAGGGAUGGAAAAAUCCAUCCAGGGCUAUUUCUCAUGUCAGUAUCACCAUGAUUUACAAUGGUUUGCUGAUACAUAGUAAGUAUCCAGUGAUUGAAUCCUCAUCUUGUACAAUAAGAUCUGGCAGUUGGUAAAAAUAGUACAUUUAAAGAAGAUGUCUAGUCACUUUUGGAGCAUAAUGUGAGAAAAAAAUGUAUACUUGUAUGUGUAACUGGGUCACCAUGCUGUACAGUAGAAAAUUGACAGAACACUAAACUAGCUAUAAUAAAAAAUAAGUCAUUAUAUAAAAA
rnacentral:lncRNA from 1 species